ACAAAACAAUCCCCCCACACAAGCACUAGUCUAACAGUCACCAAAAAUAACCGGUACUCACCGCUGGCAAACGGUCACGAGGCAGAAAAUCCACACUCCCUAGGCUCCCAAGCUCCCCGGGUGAUGGCGUCGGUUUCUGGCGUCGGUUGAGCAAUGGCGUCGCAGAAUACUGGGCACGGGAAAUCGCAGCGUGUUCACUCUCCGAAUGCUAGAACACAAUUGAACAGGAUUUGAUGCUUUUUUUUGGUUGGCACCACGCUCCAAGCCCUUCCCCUCAGUGCGAAUUUUCAAAAAGCCCACGCAAAGCUCCUACUUCCACCCCUCGGUCUACGCGAGAUGCAGCGAUGAUGCGCGCGUACGUGUCCUGCGCAGCACUCUCAGCGCGGCGUGGAGGUGCGAAAGAGACGACGCUAUGGAAGCAUGCAAAAAGCGCCCAGAGCUGGAAGCUUCCAAUGCUUUCGCUAUCGCCGUGGGCAAACCGCUAGGAUUGAAAACGAUCUAUUUGUAUGGAUAUUUCGAUAAAAGUGAGUAAUUCGCAUUACUAAACCGGUGAUCCACAACGCGCGGACAACGGAUUUUACUGUACCAGGGAACAGUUUCUCGAUUCGACACCCCUGCACGGGCCGUGCUUACGGGCGCAGUGACAGCGUACGUCAGUGUUUUGCUCUGCGGUCGGUCGCUAGCUGGAGCACAUUGAAGGUAAACAUUGGAAAGGAAAGUUUGGAUAAGCUGCAGUGAAGUUGUGCUUGUUUCGAUGGGAAAGAUGAGGCUGUCUGAGCGAAUGGUUCAAAAUAAUCUACUCCCGUACUCGAUGGUGCUGGUUUGCUCACACGACAACGGGUGAGAAUGUGUGACAACGAAGCGAGCUUCUGCUGGGACAGCGGCCGUACAAAAGGAAACAUCUCCAUCUCCCCGUUUGGGACAGUUGCUGCGCGAAAGGACGAAGGCUGUGAAGCAGCACAAUCCCACAACGGCACGAACGGGUGGUCGUGCCGAGCUGCUGGCCGGUGGCCGGAUUGCACUGUACGGCGAUUCAACGCAUCUGGAGAAGCCGUGCUACACGACGACGGGCGAGAAACGUCCCAUACCUGUGUGUCAACGGCUAGAGUGGGAAUAUCCGGUCACGCUGCACAUGUCCAGCUUAAGCUUCGGCACCGGUCCAAACGAUCGAUCAUCUACUCGUCCAGGAACUAAAGCAAGGCCCACCGCAACCAAUCAUGCCGUUGGUGGGGAACGAGCUCGUCUACAGCAGCCGGGGUCGUAGAUUGGAAAGUCAGAAAGGUGGUAAUGCCGCGCUCGGCGCCAACGAUGAAA